UUACAACGUCGGUGGCCUUCGCCACCGACAACCCUCAAAAAUUGCGUAUUUAGUUAAAACUGUUUUGUCUUCUCGCCAGUGCACCACCACCGUAUGCGACGUUUCCGGUGGCUAAUACCCUAAUCAAAACGCCGGCCACCCUCCUCUCCUUCUUCACCCUUUUCCCUCUCAGCCUCCACCAACGUGUUUUCCUCUCUUGCUAUGAUCUUUAAGGGCUUUCUUUCAUCUUUUCCUUAGAUGAUAACAAUCGGAAAUCCUGAGUGCAACAUUCAGAGGAUUACAACGCAUAAGAAAUCAAGAAAUCAUCAAAUUUCGCUAACCCUAUAAGAAAUUCCACCGAUGGGUUGCACGAUUUUACCUCUGGGAUUUCAAAUCAUGUAUAGGGCUUUAAAUUUGCAGACUACCAGGACCUUUAAUUUGCUGUUCAGGUUUUUUAGGUAUGACCUAUUUCUAUAUGACUUGAAAAGAUGACUGAAAGAACAAUUGAACUCCAAUCACCAGGUACUGUGUAAACACAGCUAUAGAAGAUGAAAGUGACGAAGCAAAGGCUAUUUUCUUCAACGAAGCAAUGGAACAAAUGCUGGAAAAAUCUUACUACGACAUGGUAGUCAAGGAUGGAUACAUAGACCUGGAAAUCAUACGCGCGGAUAUCUAUAACAUCAGGGGAAAAAUUGCAGUUUUGGAUAUCUCAAUGAAACAAGACAACUCAAUGGCCAUGAACAAACGGAGUACCAACAGCCAUAAUCCCAGCAACCCCAUAUGCUAAAACAACAACUACCAAAAGUAGAACACCAGAUUCGCCAGGCAAAAAAGUAAAAGCAUAAUGGGGAAGGUAACAUUUUUGCCAAGUUGGAAAACCCCAAAAUGCAUCCUUGCUGAUUUUCCAGGUGAAAAAAUAGCGCCUUCAUACAAGCCAUCUCUUUUGCGCCACACAAACAACAACAAAUGCUUUCGCUUCAGCACAAUAUUUUGGCUUCAACAACAAGAUUGGAAAGGCCAAGACAUCAACAUAUGCAUUAACAUUUUCGCUUCAACAAGGCGACAAAAACUGUGAAAGCAACAAGCAAGGACCGCAACUUUAAAAAUCUUAUAAAAAAUAUCUAUAAGCUAUUACCCUUAUCAAAGUUGUAGUAUAAAUUCUAAUGUAACCCAUGACCUUUGUAUGUCUAUAAGACAAUUACUCUUAAAUAGGCCGUUAUUUGAAUGUUAAGGCAACCAGUUAUCACCUAAUGUACACGCGCCGCAACGCGCGCGGGCACAUUUCCUAGUUGAAAAUGAUAUUGCAGAUGAUCCAAGCUUA
rnacentral:lncRNA from 1 species